GCGAUAAGCGUCGGUAAGGUGAUAUGAACCGUUAUAACCGGCGAUUUCCGAAUGGGGAAACCCAGUGUGAUUCGUCACACUAUCAUUAACUGAAUCCAUAGGUUAAUGAGGCGAACCGGGGGAACUGAAACAUCUAAGUACCCCGAGGAAAAGAAAUCAACCGAGAUUCCCCCAGUAGCGGCGAGCGAACGGGGAGCAGCCCAGAGCCUGAAUCAGUGUGUGUGUUAGUGGAAGCGUCUGGAAAGGCGUGCGAUACAGGGUGACAGCCCCGUACACAAAAAUGCACAUACUGUGAGCUCGAUGAGUAGGGCGGGACACGUGGUAUCCUGUCUGAAUAUGGGGGGACCAUCCUCCAAGGCUAAAUACUCCUGACUGACCGAUAGUGAACCAGUACCGUGAGGGAAAGGCGAAAAGAACCCCGGCGAGGGGAGUGAAAAAGAACCUGAAACCGUGUACGUACAAGCAGUGGGAGCACGCUUAGGCGUGUGACUGCGUACCUUUUGUAUAAUGGGUCAGCGACUUAUAUUCUGUAGCAAGGUUAACCGAAUAGGGGAGCCGAAGGGAAACCGAGUCUUAACUGGGCGUUAAGUUGCAGGGUAUAGACCCGAAACCCGGUGAUCUAGCCAUGGGCAGGUUGAAGGUUGGGUAACACUAACUGGAGGACCGAACCGACUAAUGUUGAAAAAUUAGCGGAUGACUUGUGGCUGGGGGUGAAAGGCCAAUCAAACCGGGAGAUAGCUGGUUCUCCCCGAAAGCUAUUUAGGUAGCGCCUCGUGAAUUCAUCUCCGGGGGUAGAGCACUGUUUCGGCAAGGGGGUCAUCCCGACUUACCAACCCGAUGCAAACUGCGAAUACCGGAGAAUGUUAUUACGGGAGACACACGGCGGGUGCUAACGUCCGUCGUGAAGAGGGAAACAACCCAGACCGCCAGCUAAGGUCCCAAAGUCAUGGUUAAGUGGGAAACGAUGUGGGAAGGCCCAGACAGCCAGGAUGUUGGCUUAGAAGCAGCCAUCAUUUAAAGAAAGCGUAAUAGCUCACUGGUCGAGUCGGCCUGCGCGGAAGAUGUAACGGGGCUAAACCAUGCACCGAAGCUGCGGCAGCGACGCUUAUGCGUUGUUGGGUAGGGGAGCGUUCUGUAAGCCUGUGAAGGUGUGCUGUGAGGUAUGCUGGAGGUAUCAGAAGUGCGAAUGCUGACAUAAGUAACGAUAAAGCGGGUGAAAAGCCCGCUCGCCGGAAGACCAAGGGUUCCUGUCCAACGUUAAUCGGGGCAGGGUGAGUCGACCCCUAAGGCGAGGCCGAAAGGCGUAGUCGAUGGGAAACAGGUUAAUAUUCCUGUACUUGGUGUUACUGCGAAGGGGGGACGGAGAAGGCUAUGUUGGCCGGGCGACGGUUGUCCCGGUUUAAGCGUGUAGGCUGGUUUUCCAGGCAAAUCCGGAAAAUCAAGGCCGAGGCGUGAUGACGAGGCACUACGGUGCUGAAGCAACAAAUGCCCUGCUUCCAGGAAAAGCCUCUAAGCAUCAGGUAACAUCAAAUCGUACCCCAAACCGACACAGGUGGUCAGGUAGAGAAUACCAAGGCGCUUGAGAGAACUCGGGUGAAGGAACUAGGCAAAAUGGUGCCGUAACUUCGGGAGAAGGCACGCUGAUACGUAGGUGAAGCGACUUGCUCGUGGAGCUGAAAUCAGUCGAAGAUACCAGCUGGCUGCAACUGUUUAUUAAAAACACAGCACUGUGCAAACACGAAAGUGGACGUAUACGGUGUGACGCCUGCCCGGUGCCGGAAGGUUAAUUGAUGGGGUUAGCGCAAGCGAAGCUCUUGAUCGAAGCCCCGGUAAACGGCGGCCGUAACUAUAACGGUCCUAAGGUAGCGAAAUUCCUUGUCGGGUAAGUUCCGACCUGCACGAAUGGCGUAAUGAUGGCCAGGCUGUCUCCACCCGAGACUCAGUGAAAUUGAACUCGCUGUGAAGAUGCAGUGUACCCGCGGCAAGACGGAAAGACCCCGUGAACCUUUACUAUAGCUUGACACUGAACAUUGAGCCUUGAUGUGUAGGAUAGGUGGGAGGCUUUGAAGUGUGGACGCCAGUCUGCAUGGAGCCGACCUUGAAAUACCACCCUUUAAUGUUUGAUGUUCUAACGUGGACCCGUGAUCCGGGUUGCGGACAGUGUCUGGUGGGUAGUUUGACUGGGGCGGUCUCCUCCUAAAGAGUAACGGAGGAGCACGAAGGUUGGCUAAUCCUGGUCGGACAUCAGGAGGUUAGUGCAAUGGCAUAAGCCAGCUUGACUGCGAGCGUGACGGCGCGAGCAGGUGCGAAAGCAGGUCAUAGUGAUCCGGUGGUUCUGAAUGGAAGGGCCAUCGCUCAACGGAUAAAAGGUACUCCGGGGAUAACAGGCUGAUACCGCCCAAGAGUUCAUAUCGACGGCGGUGUUUGGCACCUCGAUGUCGGCUCAUCACAUCCUGGGGCUGAAGUAGGUCCCAAGGGUAUGGCUGUUCGCCAUUUAAAGUGGUACGCGAGCUGGGUUUAGAACGUCGUGAGACAGUUCGGUCCCUAUCUGCCGUGGGCGCUGGAGAACUGAGGGGGGCUGCUCCUAGUACGAGAGGACCGGAGUGGACGCAUCACUGGUGUUCGGGUUGUCAUGCCAAUGGCACUGCCCGGUAGCUAAAUGCGGAAGAGAUAAGUGCUGAAAGCAUCUAAGCACGAAACUUGCCCCGAGAUGAGUUCUCCCUGACCCUUUAAGGGUCCUGAAGGAACGUUGAAGACGACGACGUUGAUAGGCCGGGUGUGUAAGCGCAGCGAUGCGUUGAGCUAACCGGUACUAAUGAACCGUGAGGCUUAACCUUACAACGCCGAAG
rnacentral:rRNA from 1 species